CGUGGCUCAGUUGGUAGAGCGACGCAUUCGUAAUGCGUAGGUCGCCGGUUCGAGUCCGGCCG
rnacentral:tRNA from 1 species